GGGGUUGUGGCUCAGCGGUAGAGCGCUUGACUAACAUGUGCGAGGCCCUGGGUUUGAUCCUCAGCACCCCA
rnacentral:tRNA from 1 species